AAUUCAGUUUAGGGUUUAAAACCCAAAUGCUGAUUGCAUGGAAAAGCUCAGUUUAGGGUUUAAAAACCCUAAUGCUGGCUGGAAGGAAAAGUUCAGUUUAGGGUUUAAAACCAUAAUGCUGACUAAAAGGAAAAUUCAGUUUAGGGUUUAAAACCCUAAUGCUGAUUGCAUGGAAAAGCUCAGUUUGAGUUUAAAACUCUAAUGCUGGCUGAAAGGAAAAAGUUCAGUUUAGGGUUUAAAACCCUAAUGCUGACUAAAAGGAAAAUUCAGUUUAGGGUUUAAAACCCUAAUUCUGAUUGGCUGGAGAUAAAGCUCGAGAAUACUACACGAUUUAUUUUUGAGUUUUCUUGUUUCAAUAGAAGAUAAAA
rnacentral:lncRNA from 1 species